rnacentral:rRNA from 1 species
GGAUAUCCGUGGAAAAUCUAGGCCAUACAUGCACUGAUAUCUAACAAGCGGUUCUUGUUAGGUGCUUUUAUUGGAUAUCCGAUCGCUCACAUCGAGAGCGUUAGGUGAUUCUAGAUGACCUAGCUGAUCGUAUGGCCUUGUGCCGACGACAGAUCAAACAAGAUCGCGCCCUAUCAAUUUGUCGUUUGGGUAUUGUCCAAACGAGGUUGUAACGGGUGACGGGGAAUCAGGGUUUGAUUCCGGAGAGGGAGCAUGAGAUAUCGCUACCACAUCUAAGGAAGGCAGCAGGCGCGCAAAUUACCCACUCCCGUUGGGGAGGUAGUGACGAGAAAUAUUGGCUCCUAUUCAAUUGGGUAGGAGACCAAAAUGGACGAAAUUCAGGUCCAUUCGUGAGUAACGAGCGAGGGCAAGUCUGGUGCCAGCAGCCGCGGUAAUUCCAGCUCUGCCCGAAUAUGUGAGAUUUGUUGCAUUUAAAAAGCUCGUAGUCGGACGGUUCCACAAUCGUUGAUUGGAGUGCUACAAGAUGUCGACCUAACUAAGGAGGCGAUAGUUCACUACAGUGUGACUAUGGACCAACGCACACUCCUAAUCUGCCCUUAAUUGGGUGAAUUAUGUAAGUUUGCGGACGUACCUUGAACAAAUCGGUUUGUUCAAACUAGUGCCUGGACAUUCAAGCAUGGAAUGUUCGAUCGAGACCUGAUCGUUUGGUCGGAACGAAUAAGGUCCAGGUCAAAAGAGACAUUUGGGGGCAUAAGAACUCGGCCGCGAGAGGUGAAAUUCUAAGACCGGCCGGGGUCUAACAAGAGCGAAAGCAUUUGCCAAGAAUGUUUUCAUUGAUCAAGAACGAAAGUUGGAGGAGCAAAACGAUCAGAUACCGUUGUAGCCAACUUUAAACUAUGCCGACUGUCGGGCCAGUUCGGUACAUCCGUACUAAUUGACCUCCCAGGGAAACCUAGCAGGGUUCUGGGGGGAGUACGGUCGCAAGUCUGAAACUUAAAGGAAUUGACGGAAGGGCACCACCAGGAGUGGAGCCUGCGGCUUAAUUUGACUCAACGCGGGGAAACUUUCCCGGUCCGGACAUCGGAAGGAUUGACAGACUAAUCGCUCUUUCAUGAUACGGUGGGGGGUGGUGCAUGGCCGUUCAUAGUUGGUGGAGCGAUUUGUCUGGUUAAUUCCGUUAACGAACGAGACAUUUUCCUUUAUUUAGUAGAUUCAAUUGGGGUUUGAAUUAACUAUUUAAAGGGACUAACGCAUUUAAAAGCGUUGGAAGUUGUCCGAUAACAGGUCUGUUAUGCC